rnacentral:rRNA from 1 species
GUCUACAGCCAUGCUACCCUGAACGCGCCCGAUCUCGUCUGAUCUCGGAAGCUAAGCAGGGGUGGGCCUGGUUAGUACUUGGAUGGCAGACCACCUAGGAAUACCAGGUGCCGUAGGCA